GGGGCUUAAACAUGGCAAGUCGAGGGGCAGCAUGGUCUUAGCUUGCUAAGGCCGAUGGCGACCGGCGCACGGGUGAGUAACACGUAUCCAACCUGCCGUCUACUCUUGGACAGCCUUCUGAAAGGAAGAUUAAUACAAGAUGGCAUCAUGAGUCCGCAUGUUCACAUGAUUAAAGGUAUUCCGGUAGACGAUGGGGAUGCGUUCCAUUAGAUAGUAGGCGGGGUAACGGCCCACCUAGUCUUCGAUGGAUAGGGGUUCUGAGAGGAAGGUCCCCCACAUUGGAACUGAGACACGGUCCAAACUCCUACGGGAGGCAGCAGUGAGGAAUAUUGGUCAAUGGGCGAGAGCCUGAACCAGCCAAGUAGCGUGAAGGAUGACUGCCCUAUGGGUUGUAAACUUCUUUUAUAAAGGAAUAAAGUCGGGUAUGCAUACCCGUUUGCAUGUACUUUAUGAAUAAGGAUCGGCUAACUCCGUGCCAGCAGCCGCGGUAAUACGGAGGAUCCGAGCGUUAUCCGGAUUUAUUGGGUUUAAAGGGAGCGUAGAUGGAUGUUUAAGUCAGUUGUGAAAGUUUGCGGCUCAACCGUAAAAUUGCAGUUGAUACUGGAUAUCUUGAGUGCAGUUGAGGCAGGCGGAAUUCGUGGUGUAGCGGUGAAAUGCUUAGAUAUCACGAAGAACUCCGAUUGCGAAGGCAGCCUGUUAAGCUGCAACUGACAUUGAGGCUCGAAAGUGUGGGUAUCAAACAGGAUUAGAUACCCUGGUAGUCCACACGGUAAACGAUGAAUACUCGCUGUUUGCGAUAUACAGCAAGCGGCCAAGCGAAAGCGUUAAGUAUUCCACCUGGGGAGUACGCCGGCAACGGUGAAACUCAAAGGAAUUGACGGGGGCCCGCACAAGCGGAGGAACAUGUGGUUUAAUUCGAUGAUACGCGAGGAACCUUACCCGGGCUUAAAUUGCAGAUGAAUUACGGUGAAAGCCGUAAGCCGCAAGGCAUCUGUGAAGGUGCUGCAUGGUUGUCGUCAGCUCGUGCCGUGAGGUGUCGGCUUAAGUGCCAUAACGAGCGCAACCCUUGUUGUCAGUUACUAACAGGUUCCGCUGAGGACUCUGACAAGACUGCCAUCGUAAGAUGUGAGGAAGGUGGGGAUGACGUCAAAUCAGCACGGCCCUUACGUCCGGGGCUACACACGUGUUACAAUGGGGGGUACAGAGGGCCGCUACCACGCGAGUGGAUGCCAAUCCCAAAAACCUCUCUCAGUUCGGACUGGAGUCUGCAACCCGACUCCACGAAGCUGGAUUCGCUAGUAAUCGCGCAUCAGCCACGGCGCGGUGAAUACGUUCCCGGGCCUUGUACACACCGCCCGUCAAGCCAUGGGAGCCGG
rnacentral:rRNA from 1 species